rnacentral:rRNA from 1 species
GACGAACGCUGGCGGCGUGCCUAACACAUGCAAGUCGAACGGAACUGUUUUGAAAGAUUUCUUCGGAAUGAAUUUGAUUUAGUUUAGUGGCGGACGGGUGAGUAACGCGUGAGUAACCUGCCUUCAAGAGGGGGAUAACAUUCUGAAAAGAAUGCUAAUACCGCAUGACAUAUCGGAACCACAUGGUUCUGAUAUCAAAGAUUUUAUCGCUUGAAGAUGGACUCGCGUCCGAUUAGUUAGUUGGUGAGGUAACGGCUCACCAAGACCGCGAUCGGUAGCCGGACUGAGAGGUUGAACGGCCACAUUGGGACUGAGACACGGCCCAGACUCCUACGGGAGGCAGCAGUGGGGAAUAUUGGGCAAUGGGGGAAACCCUGACCCAGCAACGCCGCGUGAAGGAAGAAGGCUUUCGGGUUGUAAACUUCUUUUACCAGGGACGAAGGACGUGACGGUACCUGGAGAAAAGCCACGGCUAACUACGUG